CACGGUAGGGGGCGAGCGUUGUCCGGAUUUAUUGGGCGUAAAGAGCUCGUAGGCGGUUCGGCAAGUCGGGUGUGAAAUUUCGGAGCUUAACUCCGAAACUGCAUUCGAUACUGCGGUGCUUGAGGACUGGAGAGGAGACUGGAAUUUACGGUGUAGCGGUGAAAUGCGUAGAUAUCGUAAGGAAGACCAGUGGCGAAGGCGGGUCUCUGGACAGUUCCUGACGCUGAGGCACGAAGGUCAGGGGAGCAAACGGG
rnacentral:rRNA from 1 species